ACAUGGUUUAGCCUGAUCACUCGGUGUAAACUCUUGAUUAUUGGUCUCAGCCUUUAUCUGAAACCAACCUGACAUCAGGUAACAGAAACACCAGUCCAGCGCAUGCAGAAAUUAUAUUGCUGCACGCCGCAGGAAUAUAACAGCAGAGGGACAUGAUAUAUUUAAAUCCACAAACUCGGUAUUAAACAGAAAAUGUAAUAAGUAGAAAUGAUUAAGUUAGCUUUGGAGAGACAAAGUGUGACAUGGACACAGUGGACUGGUAUCUCUGUUACGUGCCUUGCUGUGAUAUCGAGUUGCUGAAAGGGGUUGAUUUCAGCCAGGAACCGACAUCUGACGAUGCCAAGCGACAACAAGCCCAAGAAAAAGCACAACAUAUGUAAAGUAAUGCAUACAGAAAACAAGAAGGAUGACGCACACAGGACAAGAGAUGUUCACUUUCUGCCAAAACCCACUGAGAGUGAGUGUGAAGUGGGCAGCCAGUGUCCUGCAGAUUCUAGAGGAGAGCCGCUCUCAGAGGCCCCCCUGAAGGCAGCUUGCUUUCAGCCUCACAGGGAGCCAGAGGAGGAUCUGGCUGCCGAGGAAGCAGACGGCCCCGGUGAGAACAAUGACAGAGGUGGUAGUCUACAGAUGGACAUCAGGGAAGUUGACCAAAGUAGCAGGGGCAGGGUGGAGCCCCUGGGUGCAGCUGCCGCCUCCACAUCACUGCAGAUGGACUGUGACUUUAACGAGUUGGCACAGGAGGAGAAGAUCGCUCAAAUGAGAGCCAAACUUAGACAGAGCGAAGCUGCUCUAAACCUGCUUUCUUAAAGUGACCUCACAUUUGUUAGCCUUUUUGUACUGAAUGUUUAGAAUAGACUUUUAUACAUUUGUCUUCUGUGAACACAUGCACAUUAAUAAAAGUGGUGUCGAUGGGCUUAUGUGUUUGGUGAUCCUUUUUGUUUUAUUUAGGCGUCCAAAAACAGAUGUUGUACUAAUGUGGUGUUCUCUUCUCAUUAGGUGCAGUUUAUAGCAAGGUCUUCAAUGUUUGGAUGUUUUUGAUGUGUUAGUUCAUUUCCUUUUGAUAAAACCUCAAACCAUAGCAGCGUAUGGUUUGAUUAUUUCAAGCUGUAGUUUGGUCCCAUUUACAAAGUGAACCAAAUAGUUCUUUGUUAAAAUACUUCUUUUUUCCAGAAUAUAUAAUGUGUUUUUCCUGGUUCAGUAACUAAGACUGUUUUUGUCUUUCUUUCUUAUUUUUUUUAUUUUUUUUUUUAAUCAAGCAUACCAAAUCACACUUUUGUUUUUGUUUAGUAUGAUAGUUUCCCUGAUCACCUUGAAACACCUCCACAGGUCAUGAGUUGGUCUUAUGUUUGUUGAAAGUGCUCCAAACCAUAAACAAUAAAUAUGACUAAUCUUUGUGCAUAUGUUUCAUAAUGAGACUUUUAAUACUAAGACCUGUAAAAAAUCAUUAUUAUUGCUGUUAUUAUUAUUAUUAUUAUUAUUGUUAUUAUUUGGUGACCUAGUGCUGAAAUGGUUGUGGUGUGACUGUUGUCCUUUCUACUCUGCUUUCUCACUCCUUAAAUUAUUUUUCAUAUGCAGGUCUUACACUCUGAGCCUGACAUUUCUUCUGUCAGUGUGGAACAAGAAAGUCAGGACUUUGAAUUGUGACAUAGUGACUGUGCUCACACUCACCUCUCUGCUUUGGUCCCUGAAUGAUUCAAAAUGUUUAGCAUGGACUCAUCUAGUGUUUAAGGUUUUCAUUUCUGUGUUUGAAAUUCAUUUCUAUAGAUGUAUAUCUGAUUGGAAAAUAUGUUUGCAUUAAAAGCAUUCUGUAUGGGG
ensembl:lncRNA